rnacentral:rRNA from 1 species
GGCUUAGAGUUUGAUCCUGGCUCAGAUUGAACGCUGGCGGAAUGCUUUACACAUGCAAGUCGAGCGGCAGCGCGGGGGCAACCCUGGCGGCGAGCGGCGAACGGGUGAGUAACACAUCGGAACGUACCCAGUCGUGGGGGAUAACACAUCGAAAGAUGUGCUAAUACCGCAUACGACCUGAGGGUGAAAGGGGGGGAUCGCAAGACCUCUCGCGAUUGGAGCGGCCGAUGUCGGAUUAGCUAGUUGGUGAGGUAAAGGCUCACCAAGGCGACGAUCCGUAGCUGGUCUGAGAGGAUGAUCAGCCACACUGGAACUGAGACACGGUCCAGACUCCUACGGGAGGCAGCAGUGGGGAAUUUUGGACAAUGGGGGCAACCCUGAUCCAGCCAUUCCGCGUGAGUGAAGAAGGCCUUCGGGUUGUAAAGCUCUUUCGGCAGGAACGAAACGGCGGGCUCUAACAUAGCCUGUCAAUGACGGUACCUGAAGAAGAAGCACCGGCUAACUACGUGCCAGCAGCCGCGGUAAUACGUAGGGUGCGAGCGUUAAUCGGAAUUACUGGGCGUAAAGCGUGCGCAGGCGGUUUUGUAAGACAGAUGUGAAAUCCCCGGGCUUAACCUGGGAACUGCGUUUGUGACUGCGAGACUCGAGUGUGGCAGAGGGGGGUGAAAUUCCACGUGUAGCAGUGAAAUGGGUAGAGAUGUGGAGGAACACCGAUGGCGAAGGCAGCCCCCUGGGUUAACACUGACGCUCAUGCACGAAAGCGUGGGUAGCAAACAGGAUUAGAUA